UUCUAGGUGUCUGGGGCUUCAGAAGGAAGACUACGUUCAUGACUCUGCACUGGACACAAAUGAAACCUCAUUUACUCAUACAUAUAGUGAUGGUGCUAAAGUUGUGUCAUGUACAAAGCCUAAACAUAGUUGGAAGGAAAUUCUGUUUGAUGGAGUAUGAAAGAAAAAAGAACUGAUAAUGAGACUGUGAGACACUGUCAGUGACAAACACAUGGAUUAGCAAUGCAAUCAGGAAGGAACAGACUUCUGAUAAAUGAAUUAUGACAGCAUCUAGAAAUCACUACUGGGAAGAAGAAAGAAGUAGCUACAUGGAGCUUCAUUCAACCAUAUUCAACAUUUAAUUCAGAAAAGCCACUUAGUCUUUUGAAAAGACAGUCACCUCAGGAUCAUGGACUCCUUACUAGACAGGCUAGUUCCUUCAUUUUCUAUCAUCCAUUUUGUGAAGCUAUGCAGACUACCCAGACUCUAAAAAGAAAGAGAGACUGUUUAACACACUGUUGAAAAGAACCUGUUCAAAUGGCUUUGUGGCCUUUGAUGUGAUUCUAUGCCUUGCACAAAGAGCAGAGUCUGGCUACCAACUCAAUGCCUUUCUUUUGCUUAACAUCUGGGGACUCAGACCAAAGGCUUCUGCCAUGUUGCCCUUCAUUCUGCUCACUUCACCAUUUUCUUUCAAUUGAGAGGCAAAUACGGGUGGCUUAAAUAAACAAUGCAGAUGCCUUAAAGAAUGCUUAGAAGAGAAAACAUUUCAUGUCAGCAGUAUAAAGGCAGAAUUCCAUGUCCAAUCGCAGGCACCCCUGUGACAUGCUCAUCAGGGUGACAUGGGUUUAAUAUCAAUCACUCUUUACUUAUCUCCAUUUCUGCCUAUCCACUAAAACCCCCCAAAGUCUGAAGGUUCUCCUUCUGCAGUUAGCAAUGUUCUUUCUCAUUAUAAACACUUACAAGUAAGAGUUAUUCAUUCAUCACUAGAUUUUUACAUAAAACUGAUAGCCUUUCUCCAACAAGAACCUUUCUAAAACCUUAAAAUUUUUGAGGAAUGGAAGAGGGUGGUAUAUUUUAAAUUUGAAUAUGACUGUGAUUUCAAAUGUCCAAAACCACUGUCAAGGGCUUCAGCAACAAUGCUUCUGACCUCUGCUUGCAGGAAGGGCACUUCCUGCCACUUGCUGUUAUCUUCAAUCUGUUUAGCAAGAAGCAGCACCAGAAGAUAAGAGGCAGGGACACUUUCUCUGAUUAAAAAUACAGAGCUUGAGGAGGGAAGCUUGCCUGUGAAGGGGAAAGGGGGCUGGAGUGUGAACUAUCUGCCAGGAAGUAGCCAGGACAGGAUAUGUUGAGGCUGUGCUCACAAACGACGUGGCAUCUGUUUGUCCUUUAUAGAAAGCAUUGGCAUGCUCUAACAUGCUAUAGGAACCAUGUAAUUUAUUCAAUAAAAAAUCCUGCCUUAGAGUUCA